GGCACAAGUCACAGCAGCCACCCAGCUUCGCUGACUCCACCUCAGCCCCACCGGGACGCAGAGGAAGCGGCCAAACCCAGAAGAGGGGCUGCAGCCUCACCCUACUCCGGCUCCCACGCAAGCCCUAAGGACACCAGCUACACCCGAGGCUCUGCUUACCGACCUCCCUCCUCACCCACAGCCCCAGCGCGUUCCAACGGCCAAGGAACUGCGUCCUUCCUGCGCAGGAAGGCACCACACUAAAAUAAAAGCUCGCGAUCAAGUAACCUUUCCAUUUUAGAUACUGCUGGGAUUUGUCAGGAUCACAAGGUAAUUUUUAAGGAUAUUCUCACUGAUACUUUGUGAGCGCAGAGGUGAAAGUGUCAAAAAAGCGGAUAAAGUGGCUAUUGCUGGAAACCUGCAGUAAUUUGUUCCACCAGUGAAGUUUAUUUCACUGGAAAGUUUGUGUGUCUCUGAAUAUCCCAAUAUAAGUAUCGUGUUGUUAUGACAUUACUUUGUUGUCAAGUAUA